rnacentral:rRNA from 1 species
AAUCAACGCUGGCGGCGUGCCUCAGACAUGCAAGUCGAACGAUUAAAGCUCUCUUCGGAGAGUGCAUAAAGUGGCGCACGGGUGAGUAACACGUAAGUAAUCUACCCUCGAGUGGGGAAUAACGUCCGGAAACGGACGCUAAUACCGCAUAAUGCAGCGGCACCGCAAGGUGACAGUUGUUAAAGAUUUAUCGCUUGAGGAGGAGCUUGCGGCAGAUUAGCAGUUGGUAAGGUAAUGGCUUACCAAGGCUACGAUCUGUAACCGGUCUAAGAGGACGGUCGGUCACACUGACACUGAAUAACGGGUCAGACUCCUACGGGAGCAGCAGUCGGAAUUUUGGGCAAUGGGGGAAACCCUGACCCAGCAACGCCGCGUGAAGGAUGAAGUAUUUCGGUAUGUAAACUUCGAAAGAAUAGGAAGAAUAAAUGACGGUACUAUUUAUAAGGUCCGGCUAACUACGUGCCAGCAGCCGCCGUAAG